AUUGAACGCUGGCGGCAGGCCUAACACAUGCAAGUCGAGCGAGCGGCGGACGGGUUAGUUAGGUAUGGGGAAUGCCCGAUAGAGGGGGAUAACUCCUGGAAACGGUGGCUAAUACCUCAUACUAUCGCAUCACCGAUAUGGUAUUAGCUUGUAGGUGAGGUAACGGCUCACCUAGGCGAGUAUCUCUCGCGGGUCUGAGAGGAUGAUCAGCCACACUGGGACUGAGACACGGCCCAGACUCCUACGGAGGCAGCAGGGGGGAAUAUUGCACAAUGGGCGCAAGCCUGAUGCAGCCAGGCCGCGUGUAUGAAGAAGGCCUUCGGGUUGUAAAGUACUUUCAGUCGGGAGGCGUUACCGACAGAAGAAGCACCGGCUAACUCCGUGCCAGCAGCCGCGGUAAUUC
rnacentral:rRNA from 1 species